rnacentral:rRNA from 1 species
UACAGAGGUCUCAAGCGUUGUUCGGAUUCAUUGGGCGUAAAGGGUGCGUAGGCGGCGCGGUAAGUCGGGUGUGAAAUUUCGGAGCUUAACUCCGAAACUGCAUUCGAUACUGCCGUGCUUGAGGACUGGAGAGGAGACUGGAAUUUACGGUGUAGCAGUGAAAUGCGUAGAGAUCGUAAGGAAGACCAGUGGCGAAGGCGGGUCUCUGGACAGUUCCUGACGCUGAGGCACGAAGGCCAGGGGAGCAAACGGA